AAUAUUGGACAAUGGGGGCAACCCUGAUCCAGCCAUCCCGCGUGUGUGAAGAAGGUCUNCGGAUUNUNAAGCACUUUAUGUUGGGNGAAAGGGCUGUAGGCUAAUACCCUGAAGUUUUGACGUUACCAACAGAAUAAGCACCGGCUUACUCUGGUCCAGCAGCCGCGGUAAUACAGAGGGUGCAAGCGUUAAUCGGAAUUACUGGGUGUAAAGCGCGCGUAGGUGGUUCAGUAAGAUGGGUGUGAAAUCCCCGGGCUUAACCUGGGAACUGCUUUCAUAACAGCUGAGCUAGAGUACGGUAGAGGGUAGUGGAAUUUCCUGUGUAGCGGUGAAAUGCGUAGAUAUAGGAAGGAACACCAGUGGCGAAGGCGACUACCUGGACUGAUACUGACACUGAGGUGCGAAAGCGUGGGGGGCAAACA
rnacentral:rRNA from 1 species